GGCUUCGUGGUCAAGUGGUAGACACUUGCCUCUCACUCUGGAGUCCCGGGUUCAAUCCCCUGUCUAGAAGCUA